AGUGAACGCUGGCGGUAGGCCUAACACAUGCAAGUCUAACGGCAGCACAGAGGAGCUUGCUCCUUGGGUGGCGAGUGGCGGACGGGUGAGGAAUACAUCGGAAUCUACUCUGUCGUGGGGGAUAACGUAGGGAAACUUACGCUAAUACCGCAUACGACCUACGGGCGAAAGCAGGGGAUCUUCGGACCUUGCGCGAUUGACUGAGCCGAGGUCGGAUUAGCUAGUUGGCGGGGUAAAGGCCCACCAAGGCGACGAUCCGUAGCUGGUCUGAGAGGAUGAUCAGCCACACUGGAACUGAGACACGGUGCAGACUCCUACGGGAGGCAGCAGUGGGGAAUAUUGGACAAUGGGCGCAAGCCUGAUCCAGCCAUACCGCGUGGGUGAAGAAGGCCUUCGGGUUGUAAAGCCCUUUUGUUGGGAAAGAAAUCCAUCUGGUUAAUACCCGGGUGGGAUGACGGUACCCAAAGAAUAAGCACCGGCUAACUUCGUGCCAGCCGCCGCGGUAA
rnacentral:rRNA from 1 species